ACUGAGUGGCGGACGGGUGAGUAACGCGUGGGUAACCUGCCUCAUACAGGGGGAUAACAGUUAGAAAUGACUGCUAAUACCGCAUAAGACCACAGUACCGCAUAGUACAGGGGUAAAAACUCCGGUGGUAUGAGAUGGACCCGCGUCUGAUUAGGUAGUUGGUGGGGUAACGGCCUACCAAGCCGACGAUCAGUAGCCGACCUGAGAGGGUGACCGGCCACAUUGGGACUGAGACACGGCCCAA
rnacentral:rRNA from 1 species